CAUUCAGUCAUGUGCAGGGUGAGAUGAAGAGCGUAUUAAAUCAGACACGGGGCGCUGCCUUCAUUUCUUUCUCAGUUUGGAAACUAACAGCCAUUCAUCGUCACUGGCCUCUAAAUCUGCAGGAAUUCUUCAACACAAGGAAAACCAAAGCUACAAAGUCCAACAAGUCUGGUGAGGAGCAGACUUAUGUUUUACAAGACCAAAGACCAUGACCCGUCUGACUCCUCUGCUACUACUGCUGGUGACCAUUCAGCAAGUAUUUGCG